rnacentral:rRNA from 1 species
UACAGAGGGGGCAAGCGUUAUUCGGAAUUAUUGGGCGUAAAGGGCGCGUAGGCGGCUUUUCAAGUGACGGGUGAAAUCCCUCGGCUUAACCGGGGAACUGCGUGUGAUACUGGCGGGCUUGAAUUCGGGAGAGGGAUGUGGAAUUCCAGGUGUAGCGGUGAAAUGCGCAGAUAUCAGGAGGAACACCGGUGGCGAAGGCGAGUCUCUGGGCAAUUCCUGACGCUGAGGCGCGAAAGCGUGGGGAGCAAACGGG